rnacentral:rRNA from 1 species
AACGCUAGCUACAGGCUUAACACAUGCAAGUCGAGGGGCAGCAUGAACUUAGCUUGCUAAGUUUGAUGGCGACCGGCGCACGGGUGAGUAACACGUAUCCAACCUGCCGAUGACUCGGGGAUAGCCUUUCGAAAGAAAGAUUAAUACCCGAUGGCAUAGUUCUUCCGCAUGGUAGAACUAUUAAAGAAUUUCGGUCAUCGAUGGGGAUGCGUUCCAUUAGGUUGUUGGCGGGGUAACGGCCCACCAAGCCUUCGAUGGAUAGGGGUUCUGAGAGGAAGGUCCCCCACAUUGGAACUGAGACACGGUCCAAACUCCUACGGGAGGCAGCAGUGAGGAAUAUUGGUCAAUGGACGAGAGUCUGAACCAGCCAAGUAGCGUGAAGGAUGACUGCCCUAUGGGUUGUAAACUUCUUUUAUACGGGAAUAAAGUGAGGCACGUGUGCCUUUUUGUAUGUACCGUAUGAAUAAGGAUCGGCUAACUCCGUGCCAGCAGCCGCGGUAAUACGGAGGAUCCGAGCGUUAUCCGGAUUUAUUGGGUUUAAAGGGAGCGUAGGCGGACGCUUAAGUCAGUUGUGAAAGUUUGCGGCUCAACCGUAAAAUUGCAGUUGAUACUGGGUGUCUUGAGUACAGUAGAGGCAGGCGGAAUUCGUGGUGUAGCGGUGAAAUGCUUAGAUAUCACGAAGAACUCUGAUUG